rnacentral:rRNA from 1 species
UACGUAGGGUGCGAGCGUUGUCCGGAAUUAUUGGGCGUAAAGGGCUCGUAGGCGGUUUGUCACGUCAGGAGUGAAAACUCGGGGCUUAACCCCGAGCCUGCUUCUGAUACGGGCAGACUAGAGGUAUGCAGGGGAGAACGGAAUUCCUGGUGUAGCGGUGAAAUGCGCAGAUAUCAGGAGGAACACCGGUGGCGAAGGCGGUUCUCUGGGCAUUACCUGACGCUGAGGCGCGAAAGCUAGGGGAGCGAACAGG